ACUUAAAUAGCUUAAAUUAGAGCAUAAUAUUGAAGAUAUUAAGGUAAUCAAAGAUUUUUAAGUA
rnacentral:tRNA from 1 species